rnacentral:rRNA from 1 species
UACAGAGGGUGCGAGCGUUGUUCGGAAUUACUGGGCGUAAAGCGUGCGCAGGCGGUGAUGUAAGACAGUUGUGAAAUCCCCGGGCUCAACCUGGGAACUGCAUCUGUGACUGCAUCGCUGGAGUGCGGCAGAGGGGGAUGGAAUUCCGCGUGUAGCAGUGAAAUGCGUAGAUAUGCGGAGGAACACCGAUGGCGAAGGCAAUCCCCUGGGCCUGCACUGACGCUCAUGCACGAAAGCGUGGGGAGCAAACAGG